AGUGAACGCUGGCGGCAGGCCUAACACAUGCAAGUCGAGCGGCAGCGGGUCCUUCGGGAUGCCGGCGAGCGGCGGACGGGUGAGGAAUACAUCGGAAUCUGCCCUGUCGUGGGGGAUAACCUAGGGAAACUUAGGCUAAUACCGCAUACGACCUACGGGUGAAAGCGGGGGAUCGCAAGACCUCGCGCGACAGGAUGAGCCGAUGUCCGAUUAGCUAGUUGGCGGGGUAAAGGCCCACCAAGGCGACGAUCGGUAGCUGGUCUGAGAGGAUGAUCAGCCACACUGGGACUGAGACACGGCCCAGACUCCUACGGGAGGCAGCAGUGGGGAAUAUUGGACAAUGGGCGAAAGCCUGAUCCAGCCAUGCCGCGUGGGUGAAGAAGGCCUUCGGGUUGUAAAGCCCUUUUGUCAGGGAAGAAAUCGUCUGGGCUAAUACCCCGGGCGGAUGACGGUACCGGAAGAAUAAGCACCGGCUAACUUCGUG
rnacentral:rRNA from 1 species